ensembl:lncRNA
UGUCACGUGCUGUCCAGGGCGGGUCGCAGAGCCAGUUUUUCUGCUCCCAGAGUGGGACUUGGGGAGGAGACCGCAAUGCUCAAAUAGCCACCGUGCUGCCCACUGCCAGCCAGGUGCUGAGGAGCCCACUCGCCUUUCCUGCUCCAGGUGUGACCACCUCGUGCUCCAGAGCCCUUUGGCUGUGGUGAAAUGUCGACGAUCCUGAAAUGGUUUGGACGAGAAGAUAAGGAGAGAGAGGAGAAGGAAGAGGAGAAGAAGCAGGAGGCAGAGGAGGAAAAGGACGAGGGAGUUGGGGACGGUGACAACAGGAGCAGCAGCAGCACAGAGGAGCACCCAGCCCUCCUCUCACAUGGUGCUGCUUUCCUUCUUAUUCCAGCCCCAGGACCAGGGCCGUGCUGAGGAUGUUGAGAAGGAAGCCCAGGAGUAGACUUGCUGGGCACGCCGAGGAGGUGGGGAUGCUGGAAGGGGCUGGCCACUGGUAGCCAAAUAAAAGCAUUUGGACCCCA